rnacentral:lncRNA from 1 species
UUGAGUCACGUUAGGAGCAGCAGCAGCAGCUACCUGCAGGCCUCCGGAGGAGAGGAGCCCUCACAGGACCAGAGAGCCGCAGCGCAGCGCCAAACACCCGCAGCACCCGAUCCCACUCCACACACACGUUAAUAUUUCAGCUUUUAUUCCUAUAUUAAUGCCCGUCAUUCGUCAUUUAAAAUUAUUACAGGUGGAAUUAUUCCAGACGGAGCUGAAGUUUAAAGUUAUGCAGCGUUUAAGUGCGGCUGAAAAAAAAAUCGAACAUUGCAUUUUCGGAAAUAUUUAAUUACCUACAGGUUCUAUACGCAGCGAAAAAUUAAUGUAACGACAUUAAAGGUUAUUUUCUAAUUAAAAUAAAUCUAACAAUAUAAUAAACAGACUCAGGUAAGCCCUCCUGCUUCCUGCGCUGCAGACACUGAUGAAUGCAGUCCCGGAGGACAAAUCAGAUCAAAGUGAGCAAAAGAAUAAUCCUGCAGAUUCACUGCAGAUCUCAGAGAGAAGCUGACAGUCUGCUCAUCGCUGCUUCUCACUGAGCUGGAUGGAAAUCACCUGUUGCACACUCAGUGUCACCACUGUCAAUGACAGUAAAUGAUGGGGUGUGUGAGCUUAAAGUUUUGAUUUGAAUGAUUUAAUUCCCUAAAAAUGAAUCUGCAUGUUCCUCCUCACAGAACAGACUGGGUGGUGUUUGUGGGUGAAAAUGGUGCAGGCCUCCUCCAAGUUCUCAGUUACUGCUGCUGACAUUUCUAUAUCAUCCUUCACAGAGUGGAUAGCUUGUCAAACUCACGUGCUCCUCUUUGUUUCUGUGAGCUAUUAGAGCCAGUAUGUGUCAGCUAUUUCAGCCAACUGAUCUCCUCCUUUUCAGCAAUGUGACCAAAGAUGCACUUUUAUUCUGAAAAUAUAAUUUUGAAUCGCUUAUAGUGAAUCCCCACAGAUGGACUUCUUCUAGGGAAACAGAUUCAUAAUAGAAAAAGACUUGAUAUUUGCGCUCUGGCCCUAUGUUGCUAAUGAUAGCCUAACAGUGAGCAGUACAAUUAUAUGCAUCAGCAUCAACUGUUGGCACAGGCUUUAUAAUACAGAUGAAAAGUCCCUGCAGGACCAAAACCUCACAGAGAUGUGAGAGGAAGUCUGGGAAAAUGUUCAAUACAGUAAAUUGGAAACAAAGAAAGUCAGCAGUAUGUACAGCUGCAGCUACAAUGACCCUGCUAAUGAGAAAAUCAUCAUUUAUCAGCAGCCCGCA